CGCGUGGAGCCCGGCGGCACGGGCCGGGCCCGCCAAGCCUCGGGGUGCGCGCCAACGCCUCGCCUGAGGUGAACUGAGCGGGGCGGGAACGCGCUUUGCUCCUGUGGUGGAUGUCAGCGUUUGCUCCAAGGACCAUGUGAGCAGGCAGAUGAGCAAGGAGUAAGGAAAGAUGGGAGCAACUGGAAGGGUUUCAGAGAUGCCUGAAACAUGGAACUUGGCAGAACUCCAGAGGAAGCGUCCUUGUGAGCUCGGAUAAGGGAUGAGCCAACCUGGCAGCUGGGCUGCUGGUGCAGGCAAGAUUCAUUACAAACCUGGGGGCUUCAGCUGAGCUCAGCACACAGCUGUUCUCUCCUGCCUCUGUCCAGCUGAGCAUCAUCACCUG
ensembl:lncRNA